GACAGAGGGUGCAAACGUUGUUCGGAAUUACUGGGCGUAAAGAGCGCGCAGGCGGCUUGGCAAGUCGGGUGUGAAAUCCCGGGGCUCAACCCCGUGACUGCAUCCGAUACUGUCAGGCUAGAGGUAGGUAGGGGAGAUCGGAAUUCCUGGUGUAGCGGUGAAAUGCGCAGAUAUCAGGAGGAACACCGGUGGCGAAGGCGGGAUCUCUGGGCCUUACCUGACGCUCAGGCGCGAAAGCUAGGGGAGCGAACAGG
rnacentral:rRNA from 1 species